rnacentral:rRNA from 1 species
CCUACGGGGGGCAGCAGUGAGGAAUAUUGGUCAAUGGACGAGAGUCUGAACCAGCCAAGUAGCGUGAAGGAUGACGGCUCUAUGGUUUGUAAACUUCUUUUAUAUGGGAAUAAAACGUUCCACGUGUGGCUUUUUGUAUGUACCCUAUGAAUAAGCAUCGGCUAACUCCGUGCCAGCAGCCGCGGUAAUACGGAGGAUCCGAGCGUUAUCCGGAUUUAUUGGGUUUAAAGGGAGCGUAGGUGGAUUGUUAAGUCAGUGGUGAAAGUUUGCGGCUCAACCGUAAAAUUGCAGUUGAAACUGGCAGUCUUGAGUACAGUAGAGGUAGGCGGAAUGCGUGGUGUAGCGGUGAAAUGCUUAGAUAUCACGAAGAACUCCGAUUGCGAAGGCAGUUCACUGGACUGCAACUGACACUGAGGCUCGAAAGUGUGGGUAUCAAACAGGAGUAGAUACCCGGGUAGUC